rnacentral:rRNA from 1 species
UACGUAGGGUGCAAGCGUUGCCCGGAUUUAUUGGGCGUAAAGGGCGCGUAGGCGGCUCGGCACGUCCGUUGUGAAAUCGCCCGGCUCAACUGGGCGGGGUCAGCGGAUACGGUCGAGCUUGAGCAAGCUAGGGGGCAAUGGAAUUCCCGGUGUAGUGGUGGAAUGCGUAGAUAUCGGGAGGAACACCGGUGGCGAAGGCGGUUCUCUGGGCCUGUACUGACGCUGAGGAGCGAAAGCGUGGGGAGCGAACAGG